UAAAGGCCUACCAAGGCGACGAUCUGUAGCGGGUCUGAGAGGAUGAUCCGCCACACUGGGACUGAGACACGGCCCAGACUCCUACGGGAGGCAGCAGUGGGGAAUAUUGGACAAUGGGCGGAAGCCUGAUCCAGCCAUGCCGCGUGUGUGAAGAAGGCCUUUUGGUUGUAAAGCACUUUAAGCGAGGAGGAGGCUACUAGUAUUAAUACUACUGGAUAGUGGACGUUACUCGCAGAAUAAGCACCGGCUAACUCUGUGCCAGCAGCCGCGGUAAUACAGAGGGUGCGAGCGUUAAUCGGAUUUACUGGGCGUAAAGCGUGCGUAGGCGGCUUUUUAAGUCGGAUGUGAAAUCCCCGAGUUUAACUUGGGAAUUGCAUUCGAUACUGGGAAGCUAGAGUAUGGGAGAGGAUGGUAGAAUUCCAGGUGUAGCGGUGAAAUGCGUAGAGAUCUGGAGGAAUACCGAUGGCGAAGGCAGCCAUCUGGCCUAAUACUGACGCUGAGGUACGAAAGCAUGGGGAGCAAACAGGAUUAGAUACCCUGGUAGUCCAUGCCGUAAACGAUGUCUACUAGCCGUUGGGGCCUUUGAGGCUUUAGUGGCGCAGCUAACGCGAUAAGUAGACCGCCUGGGGA
rnacentral:rRNA from 1 species